GCGCCUGUAGCUCAGGGGAUAGAGCAGUGGACUUCUAAUCCACUGGCCGGGGGUUCGAAUCCUCCCAGGCGCACCA
rnacentral:tRNA from 2 species